GUUAUACUCCCUUCGUCCGAAAAAGUUUGUCCCAAGCUUGUCUUUCAAAUGGAUGUAUCUAGCACUAACUUGGUGCCAGAUACAUCCAUUUGUUAGUGCUAGAUACAUCCAUUUGAGGGACAAGUUUUUUCGGACGGAGGGAGUAUUUU
rfam:Triticum aestivum genome assembly, contig: Triticum_aestivum_CS42_TGACv1_scaffold_000956_1AL